rnacentral:rRNA from 1 species
CUACGGGUGGCUCCAGUGAGGAAUAUUGCACAAUGGGGGGAACCCUGAUGCAGCAACGCCGCGUGGAGGAUGACGCAUUUCGGUGUGUAAACUCCUUCUAUAUGUCAAGAAAAUGACGGUAGCAUAUGAAUAAGCACCGGCUAACUCCGUGCCAGCAGCCGCGGUAAUACGGAGGGUGCAAGCGUUACUCGGGAUCACUGGGCGUAGAGGACGCGUAGGCGGGUUGGAAAGUCAGGUGUGAAAUCCUACAGCUUAACUGUAGAACUGCACUUGAAACUUCUAAUCUAGAGUAUGGGAGGGGGAGAUGGAAUUAGUGGUGUAGGGGUAAAAUCCGUAGAUAUCACUAGGAAUACCUAAAGCGAAGGCGAUCUCCUGGAACAUUACUGACGCUAAGGCGUGAAAGCGUGGGGAGCAAACAGGAUUAGAUACCCCCGUAGUC